UACGGAGGGUGCAAGCGUUGUCCGGAUUUAUUGGGUUUAAGGGGUGCGUAGGCGGCCCGGUAAGUCAGUGGUGAAAGCCUCCAGCUCAACUGGAGAACUGCCAUUGAUACUGCCGGGCUUGAGUACAGACGAGGUUGGCGGAAUUGAUUGUGUAGCGGUGAAAUGCGUAGAUAUAUGGAGGAAUACCAGUGGCGAAGGCGGCCUCCUGGCUCGAUACUGACGCUGAGGUGCGAAAGCGUGGGGAUCAAACAGG
rnacentral:rRNA from 1 species